CCUACGGGUGGCAGCAGUGGGGAAUAUUGCGCAAUGGGCGAAAGCCUGACGCAGCGACGCCGCGUGAGGGAUGAAGGUCUUCGGAUUGUAAACCUCUGUUAGCAGGGAAGAACGGUCCCUGUGCUAAUCAGUAGUGAAUUGACGGUACCUGCAAAGGAAGCACCGGCUAACUCCGUGACAGCAGCUGCGGUAAUAUGGAGGGUGGGAGCGUUAAUCGGAAUUACUGGGCGUAAAGGGCUCGUAGGCGGUAUGGCAAGUCAAGGGUGAAAUCCCGGCGCUGAACGUGGGAACUGCCUUUGAAACUGGCAAACUGGAGUGUGUGAGAGGAAAGUGGAAGUCCAGGUGUAGGAGUGAAAUCCGUAGAGAUCUGGAGGAACAUCAGUGGCGAAGGCGACUAUCUGGCACAUAACUGACGCUGAGGAGCGAAAGCGUGGGUAGCAAACAGGAUUAGAUACCCUUGUAGUC
rnacentral:rRNA from 1 species